rnacentral:rRNA from 1 species
GUAGGUGGCAAGCGUUGUCCGGAAUUAUUGGGCGUAAAGCGCGCGCAGGCGGGUCCUUUAAGUCUGAUGUGAAAGCCCACGGGCUCAACCGUGGAGGGUCAUUGGAAACUGGGGGACUUGAGUACAGAAGAGGAAAGCGGAAUUCCACGUGUAGCGGUGAAAUGCGUAGAGAUGUGGAGGAACACCAGUGGCGAAGGCGGCUUUCUGGUCUGUAACUGACGCUGAGGCGCGAAAGCGUGGGGAGCAAACAGGAUUAGAUACCCUGGUAGUCCACGCCGUAAACGAUGAGUGCUAAGUGUUAGAGGGUUUCCGCCCUUUAGUGCUGAAGUUAACGCAUUAAGCACUCCGCCUGGGGAGUACGGUCGCAAAGACUG